UACAGAGGUCUCAAGCGUUGUUCGGAUUCAUUGGGCGUAAAGGGUGCGUAGGUGGCGCCGUAAGUCAGGUGUGAAAUUUCGGAGCUUAACUCCGAAACUGCAUUUGAUACUGCGGUGCUUGAGGACUGGAGAGGAGACUGGAAUUCACGGUGUAGCAGUGAAAUGCGUAGAUAUCGUGAGGAAGACCAGUGGCGAAGGCGGGUCUCUGGACAGUUCCUGACACUGAGGCACGAAAGCGUGGGGAGCAAACAGG
rnacentral:rRNA from 1 species